rnacentral:rRNA from 1 species
AUUAACAUAAAGAGUCGAACCUGCCCAAUGAUAUUUUUAAAUGGCCGCGGUACUCUGACCGUGCAAAGGUAGCAUAAUCAUUUGCCUUAUAAUUGAAGGCUAGUAUGAACGGUUUGACAAGAGUAGCACUGUCUCUACUAAAUUUUAUAGAAUUUGGUUUUUAGGUGAAGAAACCUAAAUAAAAUUGAAAGACAAGAAGACCCUAUCGAGCUUUAAAAAAUUUUUCUUAAAAAUUUUAGUUGGGGCGACUAAGGAACAAUAAAAGCUUCUUUUUUAUGUAUAAACUUAUAUGUUUUGAUCCAAAAAAAUGAUUAAUAGAAUUAGUUACCGUAGGGAUAACAGCAUAAUCUUUUUUGAGAGUUCUUAUCGAAAAAAAGGUUUGUGACCUCGAUGUUGGACUAGGAUAUCCUAAAGGUGUAGAAGUCCUUUAAAGGUUGGUCUGUUCGACCAUUAAUA